ensembl:lncRNA
AGAGAUAAAAGUGAGGCCUAGACAAGAUGUCACUCUUCACUGUCAGGAUCCCAGUGGUGUAAAUAUCACUCUGUUAGAGUGGAGCAUACCUGAGAUUAAGUCAGACGGAUACGUCUUCUUCUACCGAAACGGGCGCUCAUAUGAAAGCUACCAGCAUGAGCGUUUUAAAGGCCGAGUGGAGCUGAAACACCCGUCUAUGAAAAACGGAGACGUUUCUGUGAUUCUCAAGAACGUCAACGUCAACGAUACAGGAACAUAUGAGUGUCGGAUUAUAACCAGUGAUCUCAGCAGCGGUCAGAGAGUUCAGAGUGAGUCCAGGCGGUCCAUCGACCUCACAGUCAUAGACUCUGAUGUUCUCUGAGGGAAGCAUUGUCUGUCCAUGCGUGGGAAAAACAGAAGACCAUGCUUGUUAUUUUCCACCAUUUGAUUUCAAAAACAAAAGAAAAGGAAAAAGAGACGCAAAAAGCCCCAACUUUUG